AGCCCAGCACCGAAGCCUGCGGCAGUUUUGCUGUUAGGCAAUGUGGUGUGCGGGUCGGUUAGCGGGAUCGUCACUCCACUCGAAGUCCAGCAUUGAGUAUGGUUAUCACUGGAUUUGGCCCAUAGAGGGUGAGAGGCCCGUACGAGUGGAGGUCCAGAUAUGUGUGACGAUUCACCAGACCGACCUCAGAGUCGGGUUGUUUGAGAUUGCAGCCCAAAGAGGGUGGUAAACUCCAUCCAAGGCUAAAUACUGGCACGAGUCCGAUAGCGAACAAGUACCGUGAGGGAAAGUUGAAAAGUACUCUGAAGAGAGAGUAAACAGUACGUGAAGCCGCAUGCAGGUAAACGGGUGGCGUCAAGCUGCGAGCCCGGAGGAUUCAGCUGAUUGGGAUGUAGUGUACGCGCGCCUGGUGCGUCGAGAGACCGGAAUAAGAUGUUUUGCGGUCCAUUCCUCUGUCGGGAGUGGGGUGCUAUCGGUGUGUGCGUGAAAACGUGUGUGCCGAUUGUCGCUAUACAUGCCGGGUGGGUACCGGAGUAUGCCGCUCAUCUGUUGGGUCACCUAGUCAGUGCAUUUUCUCCGUGGUGAACACCACGACCGGUGGGACUGCCAGUCUGCUGCGAUCAAGUCGUGUCCUUCUGACCCCUCCCUUCUUCUCUCUCAUUACUGCUACUACUACUAUUAUCUAUUACCUUCCCUCUGUGGCAGGUGGUGGUGGUGGUGAUAGUGCUGGUUAUGGGUGGAGGAGAAGUGGAUGUGUGUGUUGGGUGGAUACGAUCGCAGAUGGAGUCGGUGGACGGCGCAGUGGUGCUUUAGUACUGCCGCGUGUUAUCGUACACUCUCCGUCCUAAGCGAUUAGUGGGGCUGACUGAGUACUGUGACUGCCUCUCCAUUAAUCGGCGGAUAGCAGCGGUUAAAAUGACUGUGCAGGGCACUGGAGUUAUCCACCUCAAUUAAUUCAUUCAUUCAUUCAUUCAUGGAUUUACUCGUGGAUGAACGGUUGAGUGAAUAUUGUACCCGACACGCACGUUACAGGUGCUAUGUAAUCGGGGCACGCCGCUGUCUGUCUGGUGUUGGGCCUGACUGUCGUGUUGCCUACGCAAAGUGGGUCCGGCUGUGGUUGUAUAUACUUGGCAGUUACAGUGUGUAGCGUGUCUUGGGUGUGUGUGGUACUGAGGGUGAAAUAGUCAGUGGUGCUGUGGUAGACGAGCUACCCGACCCGUCUUGAAACACGGACCAAGGAGUUUAACAUGUGUGCGAGUCAAAGGGUCCUACGAAACCCCGAGGCGCAAUGAAAGUAAAGUUCAUACUGUACUUCUGUAUGUGCGCAGUGCAGUAUGGCGAGGUGAGAUCUCCUUGUGCUCAUGACACACGCCGCAGACCUUACUGGGCAAUAUUGGGGCAAGGAGCGCAUCACCGGCCCGUCGCAUGUUGUGGUCAUAGGUGUGCUUGUGCGUAGAGAGGUGUGUGUGUAUUUGCUUGCAUAUAUGCAUGCACUUAGAUGCGUACAAUACCUGUGCAUCAGCGCGGCGGAGCAUGAGCACCCAUGUUGAGACCCGAAAGAUGGUGAACUAUGCUUGCGUAGGUUGAAGCCAGAGGAAACUCUGGUGGAGGACCGUAGCGAUUCUGACGUGCAAAUC
rnacentral:rRNA from 1 species